rnacentral:rRNA from 1 species
UACGGAGGAUCCGAGCGUUAUCCGGAUUUAUUGGGUUUAAAGGGUGCGUAGGUGGCCUGUUAAGUCAGGGGUGAAAGACGGUAGCUCAACUAUCGCAGUGCCCUUGAUACUGAUGGGCUUGAAUGGACUAGAGGUAGGCGGAAUGUGACAAGUAGCGGUGAAAUGCAUAGAUAUGUCACAGAACACCAAUUGCGAAGGCAGCUUACUAUGGUUUUAUUGACACUGAGGCACGAAAGCGUGGGGAUCAAACAGG